AGGAUUCGUCCAAAUGAAGGUGGGGAAAGUGGCGGACGGGUGAGUAACGCGUAUGUAACCUACCUUUGACAGGGGGAUAACAUCGAGAAAUUGGUACUAAUACCCCAUAACAUCACCGGAGGCAUCUUCGGUGGUUGAAAACUCCGGUGGUAAUGGAUGGGCAUGCGUUGUAUUAGUUAGUUGGUGGGGUAACGGCUCACCAAGACAACGAUACAUAGGGGGACUGAGAGGUUAACCCCCCACAUUGGUACUGAGACACGGACCAAACUCCUACGGAAGGCAGCAG
rnacentral:rRNA from 1 species